rnacentral:ncRNA from 1 species
UUGACAGGGGCUUUACAUCUGCCAAAUGGUAACUAACGCAGGUGUCCUAAGGCGAGCUCAGCGAGGACUGCAACCUCGCGUAGAGCAAAAGGACACGAGUUUUUGUGACCACGUGCACGCGCACAAUGGCAAUCUCUCCAUAGACUGCGAACCAAAGCGAGAGCGAACAUCUGUUUUACGUCAGACUCGGCAAAUCUAAAACGGAGACCUCUGAAGUGAUUUAGAAGGCUUAUGGGGG